rnacentral:rRNA from 1 species
AUGAUUGCAUGUAUUGCUCAUUAUCUCUUUUUCCCUGUUGGCAGUCCUAAGUGGCUUCGCACUGAUGCAAGACGAACAACAACCGGCUUAGAUGAGUCACUUCAGUGGUGUCUUGAAAACAACAUGAGCAAGACUGGAGUUGAUGGGCAUUCGAGACUGUCCCUUUUUGAUGGAAAUGUUCUUCAGCUGAAUGAAUCUCACCUUGUCAAGCAAAAGAUCAGUGAUCUCGUGCAAGGUCCAAAUGUUACCGGUGAUCAUGGCUCUACAGAAAUGAACAACUGCGACCAGUCAGGUUACGAAAUGUUCAGCCAAUUUGACCAUGUCAGAUGCAGUUUUGCUUGGAAGAAACAUAAUUUGUGCAUUCAACUACAGUUGUUGUUGCGCUCACAGGAGAAACGACUUAGUUUUGUAUUUCAGGCAUUGAGACAGUCCACUUUCUAA